UCGCUCCUUUUGCGCGGUGGUCGGUUCGGCUGGUGUCAUGCGGCGGUGCUGUGUCGGCUCGAUGCGGCGCCCAGUCUCCUGCACCGGGGCCCUGCUGGGUGAGGGGACGGCAGCCUCGGGUUGAGCAGGAUGAGCUGCCCUUACAGACUAGAGUUUCUGAUGUGCCCGUGACGGCGCUUUUGGGAGCUGACCCAUCCCAGGGCGGAAGGGGGGCAUUAGGCUGCCGUCGCCCCCCCCCCCCCCGCUGACCUUUGGUGUCCUCCCAGACCCCUGGUCCUCGCAGGCCGAUCCGCAGCGCUACCAGGGUGUUUGAAGAUUUCCGCCGCCGUUACCCCUGAUUCAAGCUUGAUUACUCUGGAAGCCUACCUGGGGCGGUGCCCUUUCAAAGGUUAGGUACUAAUCAGAUACUGAAGGGCUGAAGUUUGUAAUAAACCCUCUUGGAUCAGUGCUAUUGAGAUGUCUGUACCCUUGGAAUGGCUCCUGCCACUCAAACCUGCAGUCUGUGAAGAGUCACGUCCUUUUUCCUUGGCUGCUAUGGGUUUUGUUCAUGCAGAGGAUGCCUCCUAUCUGGUUGGUGUUGGGCAGA